AGAUGCUAAGUACACAGGCAGUACUCAGCCAAUAUUUACUGGAUUAAAGAUGUGGGCUAGGAGGGAAGACUGGGCUAAGAAAGUGAGUGGCUGACCUAUCUUCUGGAACGAUCAACCCCAGGAGCAAAGUUAAAGAGAAACAACAUGUCUUCACCGGAAGGAUAACUCAUUAAGCUGAGAAAGGAGGGACGAUGGAGCGGACAUCUUCUAGAACUGAGGAGGAGGGAACGUUCAUCUCAAGGAAAGGGGAUGG